CACGUAGGGCGCAAGCGUUGUCCGGAAUUAUUGGGCGUAAAGGGCGCGUAGGCGGUGCGGUAAGUCACCUGUGAAACCUCUGGGCUUAACUCAGAGCCUGCAGGCGAAACUGCCGUGCUUGAGUGUGGGAGAGGUGCGUGGAAUUCCCGGUGUAGCGGUGAAAUGCGUAGAUAUCGGAGGAACACCUGUGGCGAAAGCGGCGCACUGGACCACAACUGACGCUGAGGCGCGAAAGCUAGGGGAGCAAACGGG
rnacentral:rRNA from 1 species